rnacentral:rRNA from 1 species
CCUGCCAAGGAAGCACACUUCGGUCAUAGAUUAAGCCAUGCAAGUGUUAGUUCAGGCAACGAAACUGCGAAUAGCUCAUUAAUACGCUCAGAAUCUAUUUGACGGCGACUAGUCAUAGUCUUACAUGGAUAGCAGGGGUAACUCUCGUGCUAAUACAUGCUAUUUGUUUCUUUGGAAGGGAAGUACAAAGGAAAAGUUGACCGCAAGGCACGUCAUUCGAUUGAGCGACCUAUCAGCUUGUACUUAGGAUCUUUACCUAGGUAGGCUAUCACGGGUAACGGGCGGUUACCGUCGGACUGCCGGAGAAGGCGCCUGAGAGAUAGCGACUAUAUCCACGGGUAGCAGCAGGCGCGAAACUUACCCACUCGAAACUCUCGGAGGUGGUAAUGACCAGUUUCAGAAUUAGGCAUAAGUCUAUUUUGAAUAGGAGAUCAAUUUUCCAUUGAUCUGCAAUCUAGCAGAGGGCCAGUCUGGUGCCAGCAGCUGCGGUAAUUCCAGCUCUGCAAGUUUGCUCCCAUAUUGUUGCAGUUAAAACGCCCGUAGUCUGAAUUUUCUCGAAAGAGAACUAUUCCUUUUUGGAGUUCACUGUGGACCAAACAGGACGCUUAGAGUAGGGUUUACUUGAAUGAUUUAGCGCAGUAUGAAUUUUUACCUUUUGGUAAGAUCAAUGAGAGCCAUCGGGGAUAAAUCUAUUACAUGGCGAGCGGUGGAAUGCUCUGACCCAUGUGAGAGAACAAAAGCGAAGGCAUUAUCUAGAGGGUUUCUGUCGAUCAAGGGCGAGAGUAGGAGUAUCCAACCGGAUUAGAGACCCGGGUAGUUCCUACUAUAAACGAUGCCGACAGGGGCUAGUUAUUUUAGAAUAGCUGGACCUUAGGAGAAAUCAUAGUUCUUGGGCUCUGGGGGAACUACGACCGCAAGGCUGAAACUUGAAGGAAUUGACGGAAGGGCACACCAGGGGUGGAGCCUGUGGCUUAAUUUGAAUCAACACGGGGAAACUUACCAGGACCAGAUGUUUUUUGUGACUGACAGGCUUUAGGUCUUUCAGGAUAUGAUUUUUGGUGGUGCAUGGCCGUUGGUGGUGCGUGGGUUGACCUGUCUAGCGUUGAUUCAGCUAACGAGCGAGAUUAUCGCCAAUUACCUAGGACAUUUUGCUUUCAAAGUGUUCUUCUAAUUGGGACUCCCUGCGAUUAAGCAGGCGGAAGAGGGUAGCAAUAACAGGUCCGUGAUGUCCUUUAGAUGCUCUGGGCUGCACGCGUGCUACAAUGUUAGUCUCAAUGGGAUGCUAACCCGAUAGGGGCAGCUACUCUGCGAAUGUCUAACGUAGUUGGGAUUGAUGAUUGUAAUCAUCAUCAUGAACCAGGAAUCCCUUGUAAAUGUGUGUCAUCAGCGCACGUUGAAUACGUCCCUGCCCUUUGUACACACCGCCCGUCGCUCCUACCGAUUGGAUGACUCGGUGAAAUUACCGGAGUUUUUUAAAUGAAGGUAAUUAAAUCACGUUAUCUAGAGGAAGGAGAAGUCGUAACAAGGUAUCGGUAGGUGAACCUGCCGAUGGAUCAGUU